rnacentral:rRNA from 1 species
AUACGUAGGGGGCGAGCGUUGUCCGGAAUGAUUGGGCGUAAAGGGCGCGUAGGCGGCCCGGUAAGUCUGGAGUGAAAGUCCUGUUUUUAAGAUGGGAAUUGCUUUGGAUACUGUCGGGCUUGAGUGCAGGAGAGGUAAGUGGAAUUCCCAGUGUAGCGGUGAAAUGCGUAGAGAUUGGGAGGAACACCAGUGGCGAAGGCGACUUACUGGACUGUAACUGACGCUGAGGCGCGAAAGUAUGGGGAGCAAACAGGAUUAGAUACCCUGGUAGUCCACACUGUAAACGAUGAAUGCUGGGUGUAGGGGGUAUCGACCCCUUCUGUGCCGCAGUCAACACAAUAAGCAUUCCGCCUGGGGAGUACGGCCGCAAGGUUGAAACUCAAAGGAAUUGACGGGG